rnacentral:lncRNA from 1 species
CCUGGGCAUCCGGGCACUGUUACCAGGACAAAGGCAUCGAUCUCGGCUGAGAGAACGCUGAGAUGUAUUGACAGAGAGGUUUGCAUCGAUCCAGCAGGAAGUAAGCGGUGUGUGGUCACCUGCCCGGGAAUGAGACCCACUCCGUACGAGAGACGAGGGGGCUACAGACGACGGGGAGGCUCGGGGCUCCGAGGCUGCAGGACCCCCGGCCUGGGGUCACCG